rnacentral:rRNA from 1 species
UACGUAAGGACCGAGCGUUGUCCGGAAUCACUGGGCGUAAAGGGUUCGCAGGCGGAAUUGCAAGUCAGAUGUAAAAGGCAGUAGCUUAACUACUGUAAGCAUUUGAAACUGCAUAUCUUGAGAAGAGCAGAGGUAAGUGGAAUUUUUAGUGUAGCGGUGAAAUGCGUAGAUAUUAAAAAGAAUACCGGUUGCGAAGGCGACUUACUGGGCUCAUUCUGACGCUGAGGAACGAAAGCGUGGGUAUCAAACAGG